CUUACAGCCACUAGAGUUGCUUACACCCAAGUUAAACUCGGCUGUUUCAAUCAAAUGGUUUCACGGAGACCAUUUGAUUGGCACAGUACAGCAUUUUGCCGCGUAUUGGCACUAGAUUGGAACCAGCUUUGAUAAUCUAAACUGAUCUCAUCCAAAAAUGCGGAGUGGCAGCGUGGAGAACAACAUGGCUUAAAGGUGACCUUUGAAACGCUCACACAGCAGGGAGACCUACAGGUAGCAGGACAUUCUAGCGUUAGAAAUACAGGUUUGUAUUCCUAAUGAUAUAGUGUUU